rnacentral:rRNA from 1 species
AGAGUUUGAUCCUGGCUCAGGAUGAACGCUGGCGGCGUGCCUAACACAUGCAAGUCGAGCGAUUCACUUCGGUGAAGAGCGGCGGACGGGUGAGUAACGCGUGGGUAACCUGCCUCAUACACAUGGAUAACAUACCGAAAGGUAUGCUAAUACAAGAUGAUAUAAGAGAUUCGCAUGGAUUUCUUAUCAAAGCUCCGGCGGUAUGAGAUGGACCCGCGUCUGAUUAGCUAGUUGGUAAGGUAACGGCUUACCAAGGCGACGAUCAGUAGCCGACCUGAGAGGGUGAUCGGCCACAUUGGAACUGAGACACGGUCCAAACUCCUACGGGAGGCAGCAGUGGGGAAUAUUGCACAAUGGGCGAAAGCCUGAUGCAGCAACGCCGCGUGAACGAUGAAGGCCUUCGGGUCGUAAAGUUCUGUCCUCAAGGAAGAUAAUGACGGUACUUGAGGAGGAAGCCCCGGCUAACUACGUGCCAGCAGCCGCGGUAAUACGUAGGGGGCUAGCGUUAUCCGGAUUUACUGGGCGUAAAGGGUGCGUAGGUGGUUUCUUAAGUCAGGAGUGAAAGGCUACGGCUCAACCGUAGUAAGCUCCUGAAACUGGGAAACUUGAGUGCAGGAGAGGAAAGUGGAAUUCCUAGUGUAGCGGUGAAAUGCGUAGAUAUUAGGAGGAACACCAGUAGCGAAGGCGGCUUCCUGGACUGUAACUGACACUGAGGCACGAAAGCGUGGGGAGCAAACAGGAUUAGAUACCCUGGUAGUCCACGCCGUAAACGAUGAGUACUAGGUGUCGGGGGUUACCCCCCUCGGUGCCGCAGCUAACGCAUUAAGUACUCCGCCUGGGGAGUACGCUCGCAAGAGUGAAACUCAAAGGAAUUGACGG